rnacentral:rRNA from 1 species
AACGCGAAGAACCUUACCUGGGCUUGAACCGCUACUGACCAACGGUAGAAAUAUCGUCUUCCCGCAAGGGACAGUAGUAGAGGUGCUGCAUGGCUGUCGUCAGCUCGUGCCGUGAGGUGUUGGGUUAAGUCCCGCAACGAGCGCAACCCUUAUUCGUAGUUGCCACCCGCAAGGGGGAACUCUACGAGGACUGCUCCGGAUAACGGAGAGGAAGGUGGGGAUGACGUCAAGUCAGCACGGCCUUUAUGUCCAGGGCUACACACGUGUUACAAUGCACGGUACAGACUGUUGCGAACCCGCGAGGGGGAGCUAAUCGGAUAAAACCGUGCUCAGUUCGGAUUGCAGUCUGCAACUCGACUGCAUGAAGCUGGAAUCGCUAGUAAUGGCGUAUCAGAUCGACGCCGUGAAUACGUUCCCGGGCCUUGUACACACCGCUCGUC